UUGAACGCUGGCGGAAUGCUUUACACAUGCCAGUCGCGCGGCAGCACGGGGGCAACCCUGGUGGCGAGCGGCGAACGGGUGAGUAAUACAUCGGAACAUGCCCAGUCGUGGGGGAUAACACUUCGAAAGAAGUGCUAAUACCGCAUACGUCCUGAGGGGGAAAGCGGGGGAUCGCAAGACCUCGCGCGAUUGGAGUGGCCGAUGUCAGAUUAGCUAGUUGGUGGGGUAAAGGCCUACCAAGGCAACGAUCUGUAGCUGGUCUGAGAGGAUGAUCAGCCACACUGGGACUGAGACACGGCCCAGACUCCUACGGGAGGCAGCAGUGGGGAAUUUUGGACAAUGGGGGCAACCCUGAUCCAGCCAUUCCGCGUGAGUGAAGAAGGCCUUCGGGUUGUAAAGCUCUUUCGGCAGGAACGAAACGGUGAGCUCUAACAUAGCUUGCUAAUGACGGUACCUGAAGAAGAAGCACCGGCUAACUACGUG
rnacentral:rRNA from 1 species